rnacentral:rRNA from 1 species
GACGAACGCUGGCGGCGUGCUUAACACAUGCAAGUCGAACGAAGAGCGAUGGAAGCUUGCUUCUAUCAAUCUUAGUGGCGAACGGGUGAGUAACGCGUAAUCAACCUGCCCUUCAGAGGGGGACAACAGUUGGAAACGACUGCUAAUACCGCAUACGAUCUAAUCUCGGCAUCGAGGAUAGAUGAAAGGUGGCCUCUACAUGUAAGCUAUCACUGAAGGAGGGGAUUGCGUCUGAUUAGCUAGUUGGAGGGGUAACGGCCCACCAAGGCGAUGAUCAGUAGCCGGUCUGAGAGGAUGAACGGCCACAUUGGGACUGAGACACGGCCCAGACUCCUACGGGAGGCAGCAGUGGGGAAUCUUCCGCAAUGGACGAAAGUCUGACGGAGCAACGCCGCGUGAGUGAUGACGGCUUUCGGGUUGUAAAGCUCUGUUAAUCGGGACGAAAGGCCUUCUUGCGAAGAGUGAGAAGGAUUGACGGUACCGGAAUAGAAAGCCACGGCUAACUACGU